CUACGGGCCGCUGCAGUGGGGAAUUUUGGACAAUGGGCGCAAGCCUGAUCCAGCCAUUCCGCGUGAGUGAAGAAGGCCUUCGGGUUGUAAAGCUCUUUCGCAAGGGAAGAAAACUUAUCCUCUAACAUAGGGUGAGGUUGACGGUACCUUGAUAAGAAGCACCGGCUAACUACGUGCCAGCAGCCGCGGUAAUACGUAGGGUGCGAGCGUUAAUCGGAAUUACUGGGCGUAAAGCGUGCGCAGGCUGUUUUGUAAGUCAGAUGUGAAAUCCCCGAGCUCAACUUGGGAACUGCGUUUGAAACUACAAGACUAGAAUAUGUCAGAGGGGGGUAGAAUUCCAUGUGUAGCAGUGAAAUGCGUAGAGAUGUGGAGGAAUACCAAUGGCGAAGGCAGCCCCCUGGGAUAAUAUUGACGCUCAUGCACGAAAGCGUGGGGAGCAGACAGGAUUAGAUACCCGUGUAGUC
rnacentral:rRNA from 1 species